rnacentral:misc_RNA from 1 species
UGCAACAAUGUGUAAUGAAUAAUUUCGCGUUAUUAUUUCUGUAUUUUGAUUUUUCGAUAAAACAUUUAUAGAUUCUCUGGAAAUGAUAUUCCUGGAUUAAACGAUAAGAAGGACAAGAUUAACGAAUAAGAGAGGUGAUAUUCCAUAUUGUACUUUCUCCAUCCUAUAGUUAUAGAUUCUGCUGAAACGAUAUUUCUCGAAUGAAAUAAAUAGAAAUAUAUAGCUUUUAUUGUUAUUAUUCUUGCGUCUUUCUUACGUGUCUGAAUGAUAAAUCUUGAAAUACCGUGUAAGAUUCAUUGUAUAUCCUUCUGCCAUUAAUGAACCUCAUAUAUCAUCUGCCACAGUCUAGAUCGUU